GAUUAACGCUGGCGGCGUGCCUAACACAUGCAAGUCGAACGGGGUAGCAAUACCUAGUGGCAGACGGGUGAGUAACGCGUGGUCAACCUACCGUUGAGUGGGGGAUAACUAGCCGAAAGGUUAGCUAAUACCGCAUACGUCUCCGAGUGGCAUCACUUGGCGAUAAAAGGAAGCAAUCCGCUCGAUGACGGGACCGCGUCCCAUUAGCUAGAUGGUGGGGUAACGGCCUACCAUGGCACCGAUGGGUAGCUGGUUUGAGAGAGCGACCAGCCACACUGGGACUGAGAAACGGCCCAGACUCCUACGGGAGGCAGCAGUGAGGAAUUUUCCGCAAUGGCGCAAGCCUGACGGAGCGACGCCGCGUGUGGGAAGAAGGCCUUCGGUCGUAACC
rnacentral:rRNA from 1 species